UCGCGAAAACUUGUCAAUGGGGGGAAACCCCGAACAGGGAAUUCCAAGUGCAUGCGUUUUACGUAUGCUGUUCUUAUGCCUAAAAAGCAUUUGAAGUAAGGGCUGGGUAAGACAGGUGCCAGCCGCCGCGGUAAUACCUGCAGCCCAAGUGGUAAUCGUUAUUAUUGAGCCUAAAGCGUCCGUAGCCGGUUUGGUAAAUCCUCGGGUAAAUCGGGCAGCUCAACUGUCCGAAUUCCGGGGGGACUGCCAGACUUGGGACCGGGAGAGGUCAGAGGUACUUCAGGGGUAGGGGCUAAAUCCUGUAAUCCUUGAAGGACCACCAGUGGCGAAGGCGUCUGACUAGAACGGAUCCGACGGUAAGGGACGAAACCCUGGGGCGCAAACCGGAUUAGAUACCCGGGUAGUCCAGGGCGUAAACGCUGCAGGCUUGGUGUUGGGGACCCUACGAGGGUGCUCAGUGCCGGAGUGAAGAUGUUAAGCCUGCCGCUUGGGGAGUACGUCCGCAAGGAUGGAAACUUAAAGGAAUUGGCGGGAGAGCACGAGCGAACGGGGAGGAGCGUGGCGGUUC
rnacentral:rRNA from 1 species